rnacentral:tRNA from 1 species
GAGUGUUUAGUUUAACGGUAAAACCUUGACCUUACAAGUCAAUGAUAGAAGUUCAAUUCUUUUAACACUCA